rnacentral:rRNA from 1 species
UAGUUGAAUUUCGGGAUCAAUUUAUUGGUCGUGCUAUUGUACGUACUGGUAUUAUUGAUUCCUACCUUCUGACGAACCAUGAUGUCAUUAAUUUGGUGUCUUGGGGAAUCAGGACUGUUACUUUGAAAAAAUUAGAGUGUUUAAAGCAGGCUCACGCUUGAAUACAUUAGCAUGGAAUAACGAAAUAGGACGUUUGAUUCUAUUUUGUUGGUUUCUAGGAUCGACGUAAUGAUUAAUAGGGAUAGUUGGGGGCAUUAGUAUUCAAUUGUCAGAGGUGAAAUUCUUGGAUUUAUUGAAGACUAACUACUGCGAAAGCAUUUGCCAAGGAUGUUUUCAUUAAUCAAGAACGAAAGUUAGGGGAUCGAAGACGAUCAGAUACCGUCGUAGUCUUAACCAU